rnacentral:rRNA from 1 species
CGUUCUCAGUUCGGAUCGGAGUCUGCAACCCGACUCCGUGAAGCUGGAUUCGCUAGUAAUCGCGCAUCAGCCAUGGCGCGGUGAAUACGUUCCCGGGCCUUGUACACACCGCCCGUCAAGCCAUGGAAGCCGGGGCGCUUGAAGUGCGUAGUCUAACCGUAAGGAGGACGCGGCCGAAGGUGGGUUUGGUAAUUGGGGUGAAGUCGUAACAAGGUACC